rnacentral:rRNA from 1 species
CUGAUUCCAUGCCGAACUCAGAAGUGAAACACAAUAGCGCCGAUGGUAGUGUGGGGCUUCCCCAUGUGAGAGUAGGACAUCGCCAGGC